rnacentral:tRNA from 1 species
UCCCUGGUGGUUCAGCUGGUAAAGAAUCUGCCUGCGAUGCAAGAGACCUGGGUUCGAUCCCUGGCUUGGGAA